rnacentral:lncRNA from 1 species
UCGGCCUUGUCCAGCCUAUGCAUGAGGUGCAGCCCAGGCUGUGGUGUGUGCAGCCAGUCCCUCAACCCCUGGACGCUGCCAGGCAGGGACAGCAUGGUGGCUAGACUCAGCUUUUCAGGAGUCCCUGUAGCAGUGGCUUAUUCUCCCCAGCUGCUGCUGCCAGUGUCUCAGGCACUGGACUCGGUCCCUCUGCCCAGGCACCCCAGCCCAUCCUGCUGGGGCUGCUGGUUGGAGCAAGUGUGUGGGUGGGGAGGGUCUGCAUGGAGAGCAGCCCAAGACCCCUGCAGACAGGGAACGUUCAGCCCAGUGGAUGGGGUGGGGCCACAGGCAGGUGGGGAGUGGGACCAGGGGACUGGGACCAGGAUGGAUGAGAAGGGCAGGGCUGGGGCUGGGAUCACAGGGGGCUGGGAUCACAGGGCACUGAUAGCACAGCGCCAGGGCGUGGGGCAGAGCCACAAUCUGCUUCUCACCUGCCCCUGCCCCCACAUGCUCCCUGACUGUGGAACCAGCAGCAGUCCCAGGAACGUGCGGGGAGUCAAUCCCAACUUUGUCACAGGCCCUAGCCCUGUGUUGUCACCAUCCCGUGAUUCUGGCCACAGGCCUGGCACCAGUCUCAGCCCCAUUCACCCAUCCUGCUCGCAGACACUAUUCCCUGCCCACCCACAUCCCCAUCCCCCCUGCCUAGCUGAGCACGCCCUGCUCGCAGGGUCCCAAGCCAGUCUCCACAAAUACCCCACUUGCCUGCUCUGUCUGGUGCCACUGGCAGUGGGUAUGGGGAGGUCAGGCCUGGGGCUGAUUAGGAUCAAUUGCCCCACAAACUCAUUCCCUCACUGUGGACCAGGUCAACACAUCCUCCACCCCCAGCCCACAACAGCUCACCCAAACUCCUUAAGUGGGUCUCCAGCCCAAAUAAUUGCCCCUGUACUAAUGUAUAGUACCUAGUAGCAUGGCAGCUGCAAGGCCUGUGCAGCUAUCAGAGACAACUGUAGAGGGCUGCGGGGCACAGGGCAAAUCAAUGUUUGCGAGGCCCCUUUAACACUGAGGGGUGGG